rnacentral:rRNA from 1 species
CGAAGUUUCCCUCAGGAUAGCUGGCACUCAAGCAAAGGAGACGGGAGUCUCAUCCGGUAAAGCGAAUGAUUAGAGGCCUUGGGGCCGUAACGGCCUCAACCUAUUCUCAAACUUUCAAUGGGUGAGAUGCCUUGCCGACCGUGGUGUUGUUAGCGGCAAGGAUUUCGGAUCCGAGUGCCCAGUGGGCCACUUUUGGUAAGCAGAACUGGCGCUGUGGGAUGAACCAAAUGUCCGGUUAAAGCGCCAAAACCAAUGCAUAUUCCCGAUCCCACGGAAAGGAGUUGGUUGCUCCAGACAGCAGGACGGUGGCCAUGGAGGUCGGAAACCGCUUAGGAGUGUGUAACAACUCACCUGCCGAAGCAACUAGCCCUUAAAAUGGGAGGCGCUUUAGCAUUGUGCUGAUACCGGACCGCCGGUCGCAGAGCUCGUCGAUCCUUGGUGAUCGUCGCUGACGCGCCGGUGAGUAGGGAGGUCGCACUGGUUGCGUUGAAGGGUUUGGGCGUGAGCCUGCCUGGAGCGGCCAGUGGCGCAGAUCUUGGUGGUAGUAGCAA